UGAAAAUACUAUUGUCUGCCCCUUCCCCCCAAAAGCAAGUUUAAAAAGAAAUGUUUUGACUAGCUUGUGAUGGUAUGUGUACUCCAUACAGAAUCUGAAAGGGUUAAUGUGGCCCUGACUGCCUGGACAGUGAGCUGGCCAGCCAGGCUUAAUUAAAAAUGGGUCCCAGGAGGGCGAGGAAGUUGGUGGGUUAUUUAAAACACAGCGAGUGUGCCCCAGAAGGUGCUGCAUAGAAUAAAUGUGUUACAUGAGGGCGUAGUAGCCAGCAGCCCAAAGGAGGCUGUCCAGAAGGAAAGUUGGCUCUUGGGAGUGGGCAAAUCUGACAGGAGUGACAUAAAGCAGUCACAAGUGGUGAGCCCUGAUAAAAAGGCAGGAUGAAGCAUUCCAGGGAGAGAGCCCUGCAAAGUAGCUAAGUGAAGAACAGCUCUGCCAGGGGGGAUAUUUGAGUGGUGACAGGAGCUGCUUGAGGAGGACUGAAUUUGAGCUAAGAUGUACCUUUGUGGUUUGAGACUUACUGUGGAUUUCAGGAGAACUUUGGGAGUUCUGAGAGAAGGGUGAACCUAGAGAGGUAGUAGGGAGACAGCCUAGUAAAAGGCUAUAGUAGAAAGAAGUCCAGGGAGGCAGCAGGGCUUGCUUUCACUAGUCAGACCUAGCCAGCUUGCUACAGGAUUAUUGGACUGGAAUCCACAGUAGAGAGAAGCAAUGGGUUUCCCACAUCCAGCACUGGAAAAAGGCAUUUCUUAAUCCGUGUUAAAAGAGAAGCUUCUCACUUAUCUGGCCACAAGAUGGAAACAUUACACAAACAUCAGUAAGCUACAUUCACUGUUUUUUCCACUGUUGCCCUCCCAGACAGUGAAUUCUUCUGAAGCAGCUGAUAGUCUUCACAGAUUCUGGAGCUAUGCAUUACCCUCCCCCUCGGAAAAGAGGAAAAGAGAGAUGGGAAGGAAACUGAAGCUUAAUUGGUAUUAGAAAACAAAGACCAGAAAACUUUGACCAAAAUGAGUUAAUUUUCAGUUGAAAAGGCACAUGUGAAAAAUAUUUUGGCCACCACAUUUCAAAGUUAAAAAUCAAGAUUAAGUAAAAAUUAUGCACAACCUAAUAUAUUUCCUGUACAGUAAUUCCUCAUUUAACACGGUAGAUACGUUUCAGAAAAUGAUUGCGCUAAGUGAAAAUGUG